rnacentral:misc_RNA from 1 species
GAAAUGCGAUAAGUAAUGUGAAUUGCAGAAUUCAGUGAAUCAUCGAAUCUUUGAACGCACCUUGCGCUCCUUGGUAUUCCUUGGAGCAUGCCUGUUUGAGUAUCAUGAAAUCUUCAAAGUAAAUCUUUUGUUAACUCAAUUGGUUUCUACUUUGGUAUUGGAGGUCUUUGCAGCUUCACACCUGCUCCUCUUUGUUCAUUAGCUGGAUCUCAGUGUUAUGCUUGGCUCCACUCGGCGUGAUAAGUUAUCUAUCGCUGAGGACACUGUAAAAGGUGGCCAAGGUAAAUGCAGAUGAACCGCUUCUAAUAGUCCAUUGACUUGGACAAUAAUUUUAUGAUCUGAUCUCAAAUCAGGUAGGACUACCCGCUGAACUUAAGC